CUGCUGCCUUCCGUAGGAGUUUGGGCCGUGUCUCAGUCCCAAUGUGGCCGGUCACCCUCUCAGGUCGGCUACUGAUCGUCGCCUUGGUGAGCCGUUACCUCUCCAACUAGCUAAUCAGACGCGGGUCCAUCUCAUACCACCGGAGUUUUUCACACCAAACCAUGCGGUUUUGUGCGCUUAUGCGGUUUUAGCAGUCAUUUCUAACUGUUAUCCCCCUGUAUGAGGCAGGUUACCCACGCGUUACUUACCCGUCCGCCACU
rnacentral:rRNA from 1 species